rnacentral:tRNA from 1 species
UACAUUUUAUUGUAUGAUGCAUAAAAAUUUUUGAUAUUUUAGGGAACAGUUUGAUUCUGUUAGGUGUAA